rnacentral:misc_RNA from 1 species
AAGUCGUAACAAGGUUUCCGUAGGUGAACCUGCGGAAGGAUCAUUAACACGUAUCCAACGUUAAAACAACCCCGUGAACUUUCAGCUUGCUCCUGUAGCCCGUGAAAGCAGCAAUCCCUGGUAAAUCAUUGUUGACCAGCUUUUGAGUCAGGGACCUCUGCAGAUUGUGAUAUUUUAUAGCUACGGUUGAGCGAUUGCAUCUAGUGACCUGGCAUCCCCAAGUAAUCAGUGUUCUGAAAGUGUCAUUGAUUGUGGGCCCCUACAGUCUAACUUCGCCGCGCGUGAAAUUCGCACGGCACCAAAAACCGAACAACUGUUAACAAUGGAUAUCUUGGUUCUC